UCAGAGGCGGAAGUGGGGUACCGGAAGCGGCGUUGCCAUGGAGUCCGCGGAGGACUGGCUGGUGGAAUCCUUGCGCUUGUACCAAGAUUUCCAUGCGUUCGACCUUUCGGGAGCAACUCGAGUCCUUGAAUGGUUUGGUGACAAAGGAGUCUUUGUUGCUGGCUAUGAAAGCCUGAAAAAAAACGAGAUUCUUCAUCUGAUACUACCUCUCAGACUUUCUGUAAAAGAAAACCAGGGCUUAUGCCCAGAAAGAGAUUUCAAGGUGUGCCACGGAGGAUUUUCAGACACGUCUGUCUUUGAUCUGAAGCACGUGCCAGACACCAGGUUGCUGGUAACCACUGGUCUUCCGGGUUCUUACCUGCAUGUGUGGCAGGUCACAGAGGACAGUGACGUCAUUCAAGCCGUCAGCACCAUUGCUGUGCAGGAGAAGGAGGGCAGUCUCUGGCCCAGGGUGGCUGUCUUCUCUUCGAUGGCACCCGGAGUCCUCCACGGGGUGAGGCUCAGCAGUCUGAAGGUCGUGGAUCUGGAAUCCCAGAAGACCACAUACACCUCAGGGGUCAGUGACAGUGAGGAGCUAAGUAGCCUGCAGGUCUUGGAUGCAGACACCUUUGCCUUCUGCUGUUCCUCAGGCCGGCUGGGGCUUGUCGACAUCCGCCAGAAGUGGGCGCCAUCAGAGAAUGUCAGCCCCAACCUUGGGGCUGCUGGAGGGAGGUGGUGUGCUGAAUUUGGGGGCCGGGGCCCUGGGCCCAGCAUUGCCAGCCUUGGCUCAGACGGACAACUCUGUCUUCUGGAUCCCCGGGAUCUCUGCCAUCCUGUGAGUUCCGUCCAGUGCUCAGUGUCUGCACCCAGCCCCGACCCAGAGCUGCUGCGAGUGACCUGGGCGCCAGGCCUGGACAGCUGUUUGGCCAUUUCAGGUUUUGAUGGGACAGUCCAGGUCCAUGAUGCCACAUCUUGGGAUGGAGUGGGGAGCCAAGUAGAACCUCUCUUCACUCACAGAGGUCACAUCUUCCUGGAGGGCAGCCAGAUAGACAGUGCUCCACUGGUCACUACCCACACUUGGCACCCACACAAACCACGGACUCUCUUGUCGGCAGCAAGCGACGCCUCUCUGCACGUGUGGGACUGGGUGGACCUCCGUGCGGCCUGCUGACUCCAGCGUCUUCCUGCCCAGGCCUUGACGAAGAGGAGGAGCUGCUCUAGAACCAAGGAGGAACUGCACCCUUCACCGCGGAGCUAAAAACGCCUGCGGCCCAAGGCCCGGGGGAAGCCGAAGGGAUCGCGGGAACAUAGAGCGCUGCAUGCACAAAAGCGCCAGUGUGAGCUACAGAUGCACCUGCUCCAGGGCUCAAGCGUCCAAAAAAAAAAAAAAAAAAAAAAAGGGCUGCCACUUCAAUUCCUCCAAAUCUCCCCCCUGAACGACCCUUGGGGCUCACUCUACCUGGAAACAUACAGGGAAAUGAAUUCCGGGGAAUGUGUUUCCACCUGGCCAAGUCACCGCAUUAGGAGGUGCAGCUCGAGAAUCUGCAUUUGGAGUAAGUUCCAGGUGCUGCGAGUCCGUGAACCGCCCCCGAGCGUCCCUGCCCUCCACGCACGCCCCGCAGCGCUGGCUGUGCAGCACCGUGUCAACGAUCGCCUUACCGCCUUACGGCCGUGUGGCCCCUGCCACCACAUGACAGCUGUGCUUCCCGUUUGUGGGGCAGCUACACAUCCUCACCUCCAGUUUCCAGAAUAUUCCUUUGGGAACCUACACAGUCCCUGGGGAGGAACGCCGGGUUCUCUCAGCUACUCCAGGAAGAAGCCCCAGAGAACCCCGAGAGGGACCCGAAGACCAUCCGCGAUGCACAUCGACGUCGGCCCAGGGUCCGCUCCAGUUCAGCGCUGGGCAAAGACGGUGGAGACUCAGCACGGAAGGGAGAGAGCGUUCGGGAACUGCUUUGGCCUCACAGAAAUUCAAAACGCAAGAGAAAGAUGUGGAGAGGUUAAAAAGGAGGAAGCAAGAAACACAGCGCACGGCCAAGUAAGCGCAGAUGAGAACACGGGCGCAGCGAGGUGACGGCCCGGACGGGGAGGCGGCCCGCGGCCCCUGGGUGAAAGGGCCCAGCUGUCCAGAGCGGCGGUGGGAGACAGGCUCCUGCAGCGUUUGCCCCCAUGGGCCUUCAGCACAGGAGCGUCUCACAGGCCAAGAGAGAUGCUGUCCUUGCCUCCUAGGCUAUGGAAGGGACUCUCAAGGGUCAUUUUGAGCACACACAAUCAUUCCCUUGUGUACGGACUUUACAGGCCAACCCCCAGAGCCGCUGUGGCUCCCAGCAGUGCGCAGCUGGGGGCUGAUAACAGGGCGAUCAGGACCUCCCCCCGCCCCCCCGCCAUGGUGCAGUCACAUCAGGGCCCAAAGCCCAGCUCUGCGCGGUGACCCCACACCUGUGGUGGCUGUGAUGGUUACAGGACCCCCCUCAGCAAAGGGCUCAGCGCAGGGCCGGCCUCCCUGAAUAUGCAGCGGGCCGAGCUGGCCUUGUUCUGCCUUGCCUUCCUGACAGGUCUCCCAGAGCUGUGAGGACACUGGGAGGCUCGAGUCCUGGCGAGAAGUAAAGGGAGAGGGUCAGUUCUCUGGGGGCAGAGCAGAACUCUCAAAACCAGUGAGGGGGCUCCCAUGCUGGGCUGAGUGGGGGGGGGGCUAGGUCACCUGCAGCCCUGGGGGCCCUCAGCCUCACAAAGCCUCUGCCCCGGGGCUGUGUCUAUGACAACCUGAUGAAAAUGGCUCACCCUUUGAUUAUUCCACUCAGGAUGCGCUUGGAAUUCAUUUAUUUAAUGGGUGAACAUACUUGCAUCGGCUUCCACUAGCAGGAUUAGCUUCUGAAACCCACCUCCUAUUUCUAGCUAUCUGUAAAUGAAAAUAAGGGGCAGUAUUUUUGCUAUGAGCUUCAGUUAAAAUUCAGUUAAAAU